GUUUCGGGGAAAACUUCGUGCUGAAAAAACGUCAUUCUUCCAAAACGUCAAGCUUUUAAACCGUCGUGCUUCCAAAACGUCCGUCUCAUCAAUCUAAGACAUCUUCUAACUAUGGUCGAGAAACUUAUUCGACUCAUAGUUAACUCACGAUCAUUUCUUCGCCCACUUCGUACUUCAAAACUUCUCGAUCACCCGCGACUCGACCACCACAAGGAUACUCGACCAUUCUCUCUCUCUCUUCUUUUUUUAACGGGUUUCUACAGUCGGGGGCAUUCGUAUUUCAUAGUCAGAGGUGAAAGUAUUGGAUUUAUGAAAGACGAACAACUGCGAAAGCAUUUGCCAAGGAUGUUUUCAUUAAUCAAGAACGAAAGUUAGGGGCUCAAUGACGAUCAGAUACCCUCCUAGUCUCAACCAUAAACGAUGCCGACCAGGGAUCAGCGGUUAGGACUCCGCUGGCACCUUAUGAGAAAUCAAAGUUUUUGGGUUCCG
rnacentral:rRNA from 1 species